CACUGAGUGACUGACGGCUGUCCAUCGUAAUAGAAGCCACAGAAAAUCCACCACAUUAGAAACAUGGCCUUGACCUGCAUCCUAAUCUGGACGGUCCUCUACUGCUGCUUUACAGAGUCCGGAGGACAGAUCACAUUGAGCCAGCCUGCAGCAGUGAGAUCUACUCUGGGAAGCUCCGUCACCAUCUCAUGUACAACCAGUCAGAACGUUUAUGUUAACGAAAACAAACACCGUUUAGCCUGGUACCAACAGAGAGAUGGAGGAACUCCUAAACAGCUUAUUUACCUUGCCAGUACUCGAGCAUCAGGGAUUUCAGGUCGUUUCACAGGCAGUGGAUCUCACUCACACUUCACUCUGACCAUCACUGGAGUCCAGAUUGAAGAUGCUGCAGUUUACUACUGUCAGAGUAACCAUGAAAUCAGCAGUAGUCUGUAUGUGUUAACACAGUGAAAAAACGCCGUACAAAAACCUCUGAGACUGAUAUGCUUCACUGAGUACACACAUUCACAGAUGUGCACCCUUAUUUUUAUGCUGUCCUGCAGCCUCUUUAUCAACUACAUAUCUACUACAUACACCUUACAGGCACGUUUUAAGAAAAGAAAAGUAGCAAUUAGCAAUGCUUGUACAUGGUAAAUCCUGAUAGUUAUCCAUAGGCACAUAGAGUAAGUUAACUUUAAUUGGUAGUCAAAUAAAUGUUUUUAUUACUAUGUUUUAUCAAGUAAUGUUUAAUGGCAAGUAAGUCCUUUAAAAGAUACAGGUAAUUCCAACAUAUAGCAGCUUAUAAUUCAAAAAUUUGAUUGCAUGCAUGUGUGGUGAUGGUGGUGAGGGGUGGGCUUCAAGACUUUGUGCCUAGGGGCCUCUGCAUUCUUAAUCUGGGCCUGGGUAAAACCAUCGGACAGCCUGAUCCAAGCUGCGACAGCUCAGUUAGCACAGCUGCAAUCGUGCACUGUUCUGUUCUAAAACAUUCUUGCUUUGUUGUGAAUCUGGUCUGAACAAGGCUUAAAAGAAAAAAAAAAAUCACACCAGUGUCACAUAGUGAAAUCAAAAUAUUUCACAUGAUAAUAGUAAAAAGAAGUUCUAGUAACACAAAUCCUCAUCUCCAUUUUCUUUAAAAGGUGCUGGAAUAGAUGGGGUCGUGCUCUAGGUUAGGCUGAAUUAAUUUUGUUUAGAUUGAGGGAUGAAUACAUUCAAACUACCCCGAAAUACAAUUUAACAUAAACAGUUAAAAGGAACCCCGCAUGAUCAGACAAAUUCAUCAUGUUGGAUAGAUAUUUGUAUUUCUUACAUGUAUGUUGUUGUAAAAUGUAAAACUCACUAGACGUGCAUUUGGACAAAGAUUUAAAUAAAAAUCUAAAUUACCUCACCAGGCCCCACCAUGUUUAAUUAUGCAAUGCACUCUGGAUAGUGGGAUGUCAUCAGGCUUCAGUGGUUCUCUGUUUAUAGUAUUUCUAUGCAUUUAUCACCCAUC